UUUUUCCCUCAUCAAGGUUUUAUCCCAAUGGGUUUUACUUGGUGAAGUUUUUAAUAAGGGAGGUCUUCAUGGUUUCCAAGCUUGACUUGUUCUACAUGGUCAAGCUUGAGGGGGAGUAUUGAGAUGAAGACCAAGGAGAGACAGUAACUUUAGAGUUUUACUGUGGUAACUUUAUUUUAACCACAGUAACUACUUGGGAAGUUAUCUGAUGAGAUGAGAAGGUAACUUAGUGAAGAGAAGAAGGUAAACUCGACCAAAGAGGAUAAGGAAGGAUAA
rnacentral:lncRNA from 1 species